rnacentral:rRNA from 1 species
UGAGAGGGUGACCGGCCACACUGGGACUGAGACACGGCCCAGACUCCUACGGGAGGCAGCAGUGGGGAAUAUUGCACAAUGGGCGAAAGCCUGAUGCAGCGACGCCGCGUGAGGGAUGACGGCCUUCGGGUUGUAAACCUCUUUCAGCAGGGACGAAGCGCAAGUGACGGUACCUGCAGAAGAAGCACCGGCUAACUACGUGCCAGCAGCCGCGGUAAUACGUAGGGUGCAAGCGUUGUCCGGAAUUACUGGGCGUAAAGAGUUCGUAGGCGGUUUGUCGCGUCGUUUGUGAAAACCAGCAGCUCAACUGCUGGCUUGCAGGCGAUACGGGCAGACUUGAGUACUGCAGGGGAGACUGGAAUUCCUGGUGUAGCGGUGAAAUGCGCAGAUAUCAGGAGGAACACCGGUGGCGAAGGCGGGUCUCUGGGCAGUAACUGACGCUGAGGAACGAAAGCGUGGGUAGCGAACAGGAUUAGAUACCCUGGUAGUCCACGC